GUCUGUGUGGCAUAGUGGCUAUUGCGUAAGACUCAUGAUCUUAAGUUCGGCGGUUCAAAUCCCCCCGCAGACG